rnacentral:rRNA from 1 species
GACGAACGCUGGCGGCGUGCCUAAUACAUGCAAGUAGAACGCUGAAGGAGGAGCUUGCUUCUCCGGAUGAGUUGCGAACGGGUGAGUAACGCGUAGGUAACCUGCCUGGUAGCGGGGGAUAACUAUUGGAAACGAUAGCUAAUACCGCAUAACAGUAGAUGUUGCAUGACAUUUGCUUAAAAGGUGCAAUUGCAUCACUACCAGAUGGACCUGCGUUGUAUUAGCUAGUUGGUGAGGUAACGGCUCACCAAGGCGACGAUACAUAGCCGACCUGAGAGGGUGAUCGGCCACACUGGGACUGAGACGCGGCCCAGACUCCUACGGGAGGCAGCAGUAGGGAAUCUUCGGCAAUGGACGGAAGUCUGACCGAGCAACGCCGCGUGAGUGAAGAAGGGUUUCGGAUCGUAAAGCUCUGUUGUAAGAGAAGAACGAGUGUGAGAGUGGAAAGUUCACACUGUGACGGUAUCUUACCAGAAAGGGACGGCUAACUACGUG